CUCAUGAAUAUUUUUUCCCUUUUUGUUUUCUUCUUUUUCCUUUCCGUGUAGAGCCCAGUGUUACUGAAACUGCUUUGAUUGCAAUACCUGUGUGCUCAGCACUUGCAAUCCUCUUAAUUGUAGCCACUCUUUUCAUCUUCAAAUGUAGAAAAAAGUGUUGCUACACUUCAGUUGAACCCAUCUACGUCAAUAAGAUUCAAGGAAAUAAAAGGUCACAGGUGGGAAGAAGGAUGCCAGAUAAUAAAACCUGAUAAAGACCCCCUAAUUAGCAAGGAGGCAGCUGAGUGAGUUGUGAGACGGAGCCACCACGUGUUUGACUCGGCAUAUGCAGUGUUUUAGAGAUGGGUGGAGAACAGUCCAGUUGGUUCAAUGUGUUGAAGAGUGUGUUGUGCAUGUACAACUGAGGGCAGAGGGCAUCAACACCACAU
rnacentral:lncRNA from 1 species